UACGGAGGGAGCGAGCGUUGUUCGGAAUUACUGGGCGUAAAGCGUAUGUAGGCGGCUUCGUAAGACAGGUGUGAAAUCCCAGGGCUUAACCUUGGAACUGCACUUGUGACUGCGAGGCUUGAGGAUCGGAGAGGUUGGCGGAAUUCCAAGUGUAGAGGUGAAAUUCGCAGAUAUUUGGAGGAACACCGAUGGCGUAAGCAGCCAACUGGACGAUUACUGACGCUGAGAUACGAAAGCGUGGGGAGCAAACAGG
rnacentral:rRNA from 1 species